rnacentral:rRNA from 1 species
GUCGAGCGGAGAUAUGUGGAGCUUGCUCCAUUAUCUUAGCGGCGGACGGGUGAGUAACACGUGGGCAACCUGCCCUGCAGAUCGGGAUAACUCCGGGAAACCGGUGCUAAUACCGAAUAGUUUGCGGCCUCUCAUGAGGCUGCACGGAAAGACGGUUUCGGCUGUCACUGCAGGAUGGGCCCGCGGCGCAUUAGCUAGUUGGUGAGGUAACGGCUCACCAAGGCCACGAUGCGUAGCCGACCUGAGAGGGUGAUCGGCCACACUGGGACUGAGACACGGCCCAGACUCCUACGGGAGGCAGCAGUAGGGAAUCUUCCGCAAUGGACGAAAGUCUGACGGAGCAACGCCGCGUGAGUGAAGAAGGUUUUCGGAUCGUAAAACUCUGUUGUGAGGGAAGAACAAGUACCAACUAACUACUGGUACCUUGACGGUACCUCACCAGAAAGCCACGGCUAACUACGUGCCAGCAGCCGCGGUAAUACGUAGGUGGCAAGCGUUGUCCGGAAUUAUUGGGCGUAAAGCGCGCGCAGGCGGUCCUUUAAGUCUGAUGUGAAAGCCCACGGCUCAACCGUGGAGGGUCAUUGGAAACUGGGGGACUUGAGUGCAGAAGAGGAAAGUGGAAUUCCACGUGUAGCGGUGAAAUGCGUAGAGAUGUGGAGGAACACCAGUGGCGAAGGCGACUUUCUGGUCUGUAACUGACGCUGAGGCGCGAAAGCGUGGGGAGCAAACAGAAUUAGAUACCCUGGUAGUCCACGCCGUAAACGAUGAGUGCUAAGUGUUAGGGGGUUUCCGCCCCUUAGUGCUGCAGCUAACGCAUUAAGCACUCCGCCUGGGGAGUACGGCCGCAAGGCUGAAACUCAAAGGAAUUGACGGGGGCCCGCAC